UGAUGACGAUGAUGAUGAUGAUGGCGAUGAUGAUGAUGAUGCUUGAUGAUAUUGUUCUUCCACACUGUCACAAUCAUUAUCAGCAUCAUCAUCAUCAACGUCUCCAUCGUCAUCACCA
rnacentral:pre_miRNA from 1 species